GAUCUGGCUCAGGACGAACGCUGGCGGCGUGCCUAAUACAUGCAAGUCGAGCGGACNUCUUCGGAGGUCAGCGGCGGACGGGUGAGUAACACGUGGNCAACCUGCCUGUAAGACUGGGAUAACUCCGGGAAACCGGAGCNAAUACCGGAUACUAUGUCAAACCGCAUGGUUUGACAUUCAAAGACGGUUUCGGCUGUCACUUACAGAUGGGCCCGCGGCGCAUUAGCUAGUUGGUGAGGUAAUGGCUCACCAAGGCGACGAUGCGUAGCCGACCUGAGAGGGUGAUCGGCCACACUGGGACUGAGACACGGCCCAGACUCCUACGGGAGGCAGCAGUAGGGAAUCUUCCGCAAUGGACGAAAGUCUGACGGAGCAACGCCGCGUGAGUGAUGAAGGUUUUCGGAUCGUAAAACUCUGUUGUCAGGGAAGAACAAGUGCCGGAGUAACUGCCGGCGCCUUGACGGUACCUGACCAGAAAGCCACGGCUAACUACGUGCCAGCAGCCGCGGUAAUAC
rnacentral:rRNA from 1 species